ACAUUUCAAACCUAUUAUAUCAGUUUAUGUCGUUUUAAAUUUGAGUUGAUUCACACGCUUAACAGAAUAUAUAAAUACCGUAAUACAAGGAUCCUCAACAAUGAUAGGUGUUGCAUCGUUCAAAGAUGAUGUAUUUUGUUAACUUGUUGGUUUUAAUGUUAGCAUGUAAGUUACUAUUUUUAUAAUUUUUAUUGCUGUUUAAUUUUAUUUGUAUUUCUUUAUUUGAAGUAAAAGACAUGAUAUAUACGUCAAACACAUUUAUUGUUAAUUUAUUUAAAUUCUUGAAAUCCUCAGAAUAACUAAUUCAAAUUUAUUAUGCAGUAGCUAAAUUUACAUCCCUUAUGUUUUAAAUGCUAUACCAACUGUGACUUUUUUGUCAAUAAUACAAAAGUUGUACAUUAAGAUUGAAAGCUCAUCAAAUAUAGUAUAUAUGUAUUCCACAAUUUACCGUACACAGAUAUAAAUAUAGUUUAGGUGGCAUUGGUAGUAUUUCCUGGCCCAUAGAGAAAAUGAUAGCCUUUUUAGAAUUUUCACCACUUUCUAACACUACCCAAAAUUUUACAUCCUCAGUUAACUGAUGAGUUACUUUCAUUUUUAUAUUAAAAAAUAAUUUAAAUAUGUAUGAAGACCGUUUAAUUUUUUGCUAUUUAGAAACAUAAGGCUACUAGUACUUUGAUGUAUUUUAUCAUGCAGUGAAUACAAAAUUCUCAAAAACUCAUUUCAAAUUCCAAUGGGAAUUGUGCCCCUCUUCUUGCCGACUUGUUUCUUUAUUAUUAUGAGGCUGACUUCAUACAGGAACUUCUUAGGAAGAAAGGUAAGAAGUUAGCAAUAUACUUUAACUCUACUUUCCGCUAUAUAGAUGAUGUUCUUUCAGUAAAUAAUCAAAAUUUGGUGACUAUGUCGAACGCAUCUAUCCCAUUGAACUAGAGAUAAAAGAUACAACAGAUACAAUUAAGUCGGCCUCAUAUCCUGACUUACUUCUAGAAAUUGACAAUGAGGGUCGAUUGAAAACAAAACUUUACGACAACAGGGAUGAUUUCAGCUUUUCAAUUGUGAACUUUCCAUUUCUAAGUAGCAACAUUCCAGCAACACCUGCAUACGGGGUAUAUAUCUCCCAAUUGAUACGAUAUUCCCGUGCUUGCAUUUCCUAUCAUGAUUUUCUUGAUAGAGGGUUGUUGCUCCCAAGGAAGCUAUUAAAUCAAGAGUUCCAAAUGGUGAAGUUGAAAUCAUCACUUCGUAAAUUUUACGGACGCCAUCACGAUUGGUUGACCGUUAUGGAAUAACCGUUUCACAAAUGAUAUCGGAUAUGUUCCUUACGUCGUAACUACAAUCCCCUUCCCUUUCAUGAAUGUGACCUACCUAAUUAGACUUUUUACCGGAUUGUUAUCUCAUAAGCAACACGACGGGUGUCACAUGUGGAACAGGAUCUGAUUACCCUUCCGGAGCACCCCUAGUUCUUGGUGGGGUUCGUGUUGUUUAUCUUUAGUUUUCUAUGUCGUGUCAUGUGUACUAUUGUUAGUCUUUUUGUCCUUUCAUUUAGCCAUGACCUUGUCAGUUUAUUUUCGAUUUAUGAAUUUGACUGUCCCUCUGGUAUCUUUCGUCCCUCUUUUCACCUGUAUGUAAAAUUAUUUCAUAUUUUUCUACACCUAAUUCACACCUCAGCUUGAAAAGGUAUUUUAAGUAUAUGCUGUAUGUUUUGUCCAAUCACACUAUUUAGACAAAAGUGCAACUUAAAUUCCAGAAUGUCAAUACUACCGUGACACCUUUAUUAAAAGGUAAAAGUAAUAAUUAUUGAUAAAGAGAUAAAGUGAUAAAAGUCGACAACACCUGUAUGUCAUUCUCAUUGUAGGUUUUGCUCAAGCAGUACCUCCACCCCUCCCUUCACAAAGAUGUACAGAUAGAAUUCAAGAAUUAGUACAAGAAUUUGCUUCACAAGAGACAAUACCAGAUAUUGAAACUUAUAUACAGACAAAUACCUUAACGCACGAGUAUUCUAUCGAUGAAACUUUGGUAGAUGAUUACUGUAGGUGAGAAAUAACUAUAAUCUCCUACAUAUAGUACAUGUUAACAAACACACUCCGAAACAGUGGUGGUGGUGCUUCGCUAAACUAUCAUCACUUCAACCAGUACUUCGCAUCUCUCGGGUCUCUUUCAUUAAGUCAACGUAUCGUACCAAAGAGGACGUCACCACUGUUUCGGAGUUUCGUUAACUAAGUGUAAAGUGGAUAUUCACCAUUAUGUGUAUCAAAAAGAUACUUUAUCUAUUUUUAUUAUCCUUUCUGUUUCUGUAUAUUAGGAGGUCAUAUAUGUGUCCUUGAUAUGCUUCAACCUCGUGUAUACUUUAAAAAAAACUUCAUGUCUUAACUGUAAAGAUGUUCUGUAUUAUCAAUUUGAUAUUCUAGCAAAUAAUGUUCAUUCACACAAUUGUUUCUUAGGCAUUAGUUUUCUAAGUUGUGUCUUGUGUACUAUUAUUUGUCUGUUUUUUUUUGUUUUUUUUUUUUUUUUUCAGCCAUAGCGUUGUAAGUUUAUUUUCGAUCUAUGAGUUUGACUUACCCUCUGGUAUCUUUCUGACCCCUCGUGUUAAGACAUAAUGAGAUUCAAUCCGAAUUUAUAAAAUGUAUUUCGAACUGAAUCAGACACAGAGAAAAUCCAUACAAACUGAAAACCUACCGUUACGACGAACAAAAGCAAAACAAAUGCAAUUGUUAUCGACAAUUCAGAAGGUUAACGGUCACUAUCACGAAUUACAAAUACAGUGUGAUGGUGUCUCAACUCAUUACCGGCAGGUGCACGUCAGGUCUUUAUAUCACAGUAAAAUCGUCUGAUCGGUUAAUUGUUUCCCCAUUCUGACAUUUUGAUUGAGGUGUUAAUUCGCUCGGUAGUUGAUACAUGCAUAGUAAGAUACAAUUACGAUGUCGAAGAAUCAAGUCUCGUUCCUUUUUGCUCAUGCAAUUUCCUUAGUUUUUGGUUUGCUACUUUGAUUUGUCUCUUCGAUAAACCAAGCCCACAAAACAUAACUUACAAAAAAAAAGAUUUCCACGAAAAACUACGGUUGAACUAAACUUUUAGGAAUUUUGGACCUCAAUGCUCUGCAACUUCGUACUUUAUUUGGCCUUUUUAACUUUUAUGAAUUCGAAGGUCACUGAAGAGUCUUUUGUCACGUAGACGAAACGCGUGACUGGCGUUAAUAUCAAAUUUAAUCCUGGUAUCUAUGAUUAGUUUAUAUAAAGGUAGAUAUUGCAAAAGAAGUCGUCAAAUUGAGAAAAAGGACGUGUAUGUGGUGAUAUAGCGGUAGCAAAUGGCUUUGAAGAUUCUACGGGCUAAACAACGAUGAUUCAAUAAACUCAUAAACUUACAUUGAAUAGUUAUCCAGGGUCUCUUCUGAUUGCCUAAAUCCACGAGUGUCUUCUAGCUUGCACCAGCUUGAGGAAAUAUGUGGAAAGGAACUUGAUGGCGACGACCAUUGCUGUUGCAGAUAGGGAGCAAUAGUUAUCAAAGGUACCAGGAUUAUAAUUUAGUACGCCAGACGCGCGUUUCGUCUACAUAAGACUCAUCAGUGACGCUCAUAUCAAAAAAUUCAUCAAGCCAAAAAAGUACAAAGUUGAAGAGCAUUGAGGAUCCAAAAGUCCAAAAAGUUGUGCCAAAUACGGCUAAGGUAAUCUAUGCCUGGGAUAAGAAAAUCCUUAGUUUUUGGAAAAUUCAAAGUUUUGUAACAGGAAAUUUAUUAAAAUGACCACACUAUUGAUAUUCAUGUCAACACCGAAGUGUUGACUACUGGGCUGGUGAUACCCUCGGGGACGAAACGUCCACCAGCAGUGGCAUCGACCCAGUGGUGAAAUAGUUAUCAAAGGUACCAGGAUUAUAAUUUAGUACGCCAGACGCGCGUUUCGUCUACAUAAGACUCAUCAGUGACGCUCAUAUCAAAAAAUUCAUAAAGCCAAACAAGUACAAAGUUGAAGAGCAUUGAGGAUCCAAAUCCAAAAGUUGUGCCAAAUACGCUAAGGUAAUCUAUGCCUGGGAUAAGAAAUCUUAGUUUGGAAAAUUCAAAGUUUUGUAACAGGAAAUUUAUUAAAAUGACCACACCAUUGAUAUUCAUGUCAACACCGAAGUGUUGACUACUGGGCUGGUGAUACCCUCGGGGACGAAACGUCCACCAGCAGUGGCAUCGACCCAGUGGUGUAAAUAGUUAUCAAAGGUACCAAUAAUGUUGAUCCAACUUUCCCAAUUUUGGAUAAUUCAAGGAAAUCUUUCACGUCUUCACUCAUGGCGGUCAUGUUUGUUAAAUGUUUACCGAAUAUAGCCUCGUUUUUAAUUUAUACCCUGGAUUUAUGAAUAUUAGUUGAGAAAGAAGUUUGUCUAAUGCAACUGGAACAUAUUCAAUUAGACUGUUUUCCGGUUUGAAUUGUUUUACACUAGUCAUGUUGGUUCCCUUUAUAGCUUGAUGUUCGGUUAGAGCCAGGACUCCGUGUUUGGUCCAUAAUUAUUUACUUUUUAUACACUGUGACUUGGAUGAAGAGUUGUCUCAUUGGCACCCAUACCACAUCUUUGUGAAUGUUCUGUUGAUUAAUAGUUCCUAUAUUUAUAAUACUCAUUUCAGCUGAAUUUAUUAAUUAGUCAUAACUAGUUGAUGAAUGAAUAUUGCACUUCCAUAACAUGAAAUUAACUUUUUAGGAAUCAAUUUAACAUUUGCAUAAUUACUGGUGUUCAGUGGAUCGUUACUUCAAUUUUAAGUGUUUCUUUUUAGCUUGUUUCGCAAGGUGGUUCCAUUUUACGAAAACAACAUUGCAGAUUUGAGAAUAUUGUGCAACACUGGUCAGCUCAGAAAACAUUUAGAGCUAAUGUCGCAUAUAAAGAAUGUUGCCACGUCAAUGUGUGAUGUCGAGAAAAUGAAAGGUAUUUACACAGUAAACCACAGUUUAAAAAAAAUCAUUAUUAUGGCCCAUUUAUGGGCAUUGUGUUUUCUGGUCUGUGCGUCCGUUCGUCCGUCUGUCCCGCUUCAGGUUAAAGUUUUUGGUCGAGGUAGUUCUUGAUGAAGUUGAAGUCCAAUCAACUUGAAAGUUAGUAAACAUGUUUCCUAUGAUAUGAUAUUUCUAAUUGUAAUGCCAAAUUAGAGAUUUUAUCCUAUUUUCACGGUCCACUGAACAUUGAAAAUGAUAGUGCGGAUGGGGCAUCCGUGUACUUGGGACAUAUUCUUGUUUUUAUUCUAAUUUGAUUUCUGAUGCAUUGAGAAAAAAACAGGUUAAACGAUAAAAAACAAUUCUCUUUUAAUGAUAUCUCCAGACACAUAUAACACUGAAUUGUUUACAGAUCUUAAAGCCGCCUUUCUGACAUGCGUUAGUAACAACCGAUUUUUUGUAUUACAGAUGUUAGAGCCCUUAUGUCAUGUGUUAGUAACAACCGAUUUUGUAUUACAGAUGUGGAAGUCCUUCUGACAAGUGUAACUAACAACCGAUUGUGUAUUACAGAUGUUAAAACCUUUCAAACAUGUGUUUCUAACACCAGACACAAGUUGUUUCCUUUUUCCUUUUUCCUUUUUCAAUAUUCAAAUUUUGGAAAAUAUUACAGGAAAAACGAACAAGGAAACAACUUGUGUCUGGUGUUUCUAACAACUGAUUUUGUAUUAGAUAUUUAAAAGCCCAUCUGACCUGUGUUAGUAAUAUCCGAUUUUGUAUUACAGGUGUUAAAGCCCUUCUGACAUGUGCUAGUAAUAACAGACUUUGUAUUGUAUUACAGAUCUAAAAGCCCUUCUACCAUGUGGUACUUACAACAGAUUUUGUAUUACAGAUAUAAAAGCCCUUCUGACAUGUGCUAGUAAUAACAGACUUUGUAUUGUAUUACAGAUCACAUAAGUACCGAGUCACGUCCACUUGUAUUUUUGUCCAUCUGAUGAGUUAAGCCUUUUUCAACUGAUUUUUAUAGUUCGUUCUUCUGUUGUACUAUUAUACCACUGUCCCGGGUUAGGGGGAGGGUUGGGAUCCCGCUUACAUGUUUAACCCCGCCACAUUAUUUAUGUAUGUGCUUGUCCCAAGUCAGGAGCCUGUAAUUCAGUGGUAGUAGUUUGUUUAUGUGUUACAUAUUUGUUUUUCGUUCAUUUUUUUACAUAAAUAAGGCCGUUAGUUUUCUCGUUUGAAUUGUUUUAAAUUGUCUUAUCAGGGCCUUUUAUAGGUGACUAUGCUGUAUGGGCUUUGCUCAUUGUUGAAGGCCGUACGGUGACCUAUAGUUGUUAAUGUCUGUGUCAUUUUGGUCUUUUGUGGAUAGUUGUCUCAUUGGCAAUCAUACCACAUCUUCUUUUUUAUAUACUGAAAGCCCUUCUGUCAUGUGUUAGUAAUAUCCGAUUUUGUAUUACAAAUGUUUAUGCCCUUCUGGCAUGUGUUAUUAACAACCAAUUUUGUAUUGCAGCUGUUAAAGCCCUUCUGACAUGUGUUACUAACAACUGAUUUUGUAUUAGAGAUCUAAAAGCCCUUCUGACAUGUGUUAGUAAUAUUCGAUUUUGUAUUAUAGAUAUUAAAGCCAUUCUGACAUGUGUUAGUAAUAACCGUAUGGCACAGCAAGCAUUCCUUGGAUGUCUGCAGGGUACUGUACGUGGUUUGAGUUUCAGUAGAGUCCGACCUGGUUCGCUCACUUGCUCAGAAGUUUAUUUGACAUUUCAAAAUAAAGUAUAGAAUCAUAUCUCUAUUACAUAAAAUUGAAUGGAAAUAGAAUUUAAU
rnacentral:lncRNA from 1 species